rnacentral:rRNA from 1 species
UGGGGAAUUUUGGACAAUGGGCGCAAGCCUGAUCCAGCAAUGCCGCGUGCAGGAUGAAGGCCUUCGGGUUGUAAACCGCUUUUGUCAGGGAAGAAACGGUCUGGGCUAAUACCCCGGACUAAUGACGGUACCUGAAGAAUAAGCACCGGCUAACUACGUGCCAGCAGCCGCGGUAAUACGUAGGGUGCAAGCGUUAAUCGGAAUUACUGGGCGUAAAGCGUGCGCAGGCGGUUAUGCAAGACAGAUGUGAAAUCCCCGGGCUUAACCUGGGAACUGCAUUUGUGACUGCAUAGCUAGAGUACGGUAGAGGGGGAUGGAAUUCCGCGUGUAGCAGUGAAAUGCGUAGAUAUGCGGAGGAACACCGAUGGCGAAGGCAAUCCCCUGGACCUGUACUGACGCUCAUGCACGAAAGCGUGGGGAGCAAACA